CAGCAGCCGCGGGAAUACGGAGGGUGCAAGCGUUAAUCGGAAUUACUGGGCGUAAAGCGCACGCAGGCGGUCUGACAAGUCAGAUGUGAAAUCCCCGGGCUUAACCUGGGAACUGCAUUUGAAACUGUCAGGCUGGAGUCUUGUAGAGGGGGGUAGAAUUCCAGGUGUAGCGGUGAAAUGCGUAGAGAUCUGGAGGAAUACCGGUGGCGAAGGCGGCCCCCUGGACAAAGACUGACGCUCAGGUGCGAAAGCGUGGGGAGCAAACAGGAUUAGAGACCCCAGUAGUCCCUGUCUUUAUACA
rnacentral:rRNA from 1 species